AGCAUCAAUGCCGUCACUUGAUUGAUAUACAGGGCAGCCAUUCAGAUGACAACUGAAUGUUGCCCUUCGGGCGACCAAUCAAAUCAAACAACGUCUCUAAGUGCAGCAGAACUUACGAUGUCAGCCUAUCAUCCAUCCCCGUUACUUGAUUGACAUACAGGACAACCAGUCAGAUGACAACUGAAUUUUGACCUUUAGGUCACCGCUCAUGCGUAAACAACGAUGCAAAGUGCUAAGCUAGUCGGCGAAUUGCGUCAGAUUUUAAGCCCUUGCUAAAGUUUAUGGUCACUAAAAUGAGUGAAGGAGCUGGACCAAGUAAAAAGGCAAAAACAUAUCACUCCCAUACGGAAUGGGAGGUGGACUUUUUUUUCACAAUGUCUUUUUCGAAGUGCGUUUGCCUGGCUAACCUGGCUAUCAGCAGCUACUGUCCGGACUAUGCAUCCCUGGCUGAUUCAAUUCAGUGCAAGUCAUCAAAGUAAACUCAGAAGGCCUCCAGCUCUCAGUCCAGGAUCAUACGGGACUCUGAAAUUCUGCGGAAGACCAGCUGAUUGAAGGGUCUCCAGCUUCUGACGCAUCUGAAACACCACUGACAAGAAUACAGCAUUUAUCAGUGGCUCCAUUACAUCAUGACUUUGAGAUUCCAGCCCAGAAAGUUCACUUUGACACCUUGUGCUGUGACGUCGUACUUGUCCGGAGAUAUGGUCUUGAUUUCUAGGGUGACCUUCUGUAGAGCCUCAGUCACCUCCACCUGGAUAGCACCAGAUGAUUAUGGAUACAAUCCAAAUCAAUGUCAUUCAAUAACACACAUACAUAUAGUAGUUUUCCCUAUCAUCGACACAUGCAUGCAUAGUUAUAUACGUAGUUGCUCACCUGUUUACCAAAAUCCUGCAACAUACAUUCGCCGCACCCUCGUAGGUACGCCUCCAGUAGGACCGCAUAUCUCUGCUGGUAAUGCAUGGACUGGGCGAUCUCACUCCGCAGGAACCAGAAGAGGAAAUGGCCGAUACGCUUACUCUGAGAAGACAAAAAAGGGUUGAAAAUAGAAACAAUGUAUGAAAGCUUUAACGUUCUUGUGAGAUUAAAAUGCGAUAUUUGUCGUUCAGAAAAAGAUAUACCAUCGGCAUUAAAAUAAACAAUUAAUCACGCAAUAAAUGAAAAUGAGCUUCAUAAUAUUGCCAGGUGCAUGGAACAGCCAGGAAGAAGGAUCACUCUGUGCAUUGAUUUCAGCAACUUAGCACAUUUGUGCCAUAGAACAAGGGCGUGAAUGGAGUGAGCCCAGGAAAAACACAGGAAAAAUUCAAUUAAUCGACUGUAAUAUACUGUCACAUAUUUUUUCUUUGUAUCUUAUUUGUAUCGUUCUCACAGACCCUGUCUUGUGUAUCGUCUCGUCUCGUGAACCGGGUGUCACGUGACACCCCUUUGAGUGAAGCAUGCUAUUUGGGAUUAAGUAAACUUACCCUCAGAGCUCUCUUGAGCAGGAACCUAACCAGGGCGCUAUCAUGAUAUGGCUCAAACUUGACAGCCUGCAGUAAACACAAACACCCAUACAGACAUAUCAACUAGUUAAUAGGGAUAGUCCAUUUAAACAGCAAGGAAUAACAUCCAGGAAACAAUAACUAGUUGAUCAGGUGGGAAAAAAUACCCUUAAGGUGAUGACUCCAAACAAGAAAAGCUUUGUCAACAGCAAACAUUCUUCAUGUUUACAAAUAGAAAAAUCACAUGGCAUUUGGAACGUCAGAGAAUGCAGGAUUAUACAAGUAAAGCCUCAGAGAAGAUAUUUCUUGUUAACUCAUUUGUGUGAUUUUAUGUAUUGACAGAAAACGAGACAAGCAGGUUAGCUUGACAAAGAAGUACCUGGACAAGUUGCAGGAGGUAUCUGAGCACGUCGUCGUCCUCCAGGGUCUCCAACUUCCUCACGGCCAUUGAGCGAACCUGAGCAUCCGAGUAGUGGCAAUCGAGUAGUUGCAUAGCCAAGCCAACAUCCAAAACACUGAACAAAACAAGGCCAAAGGAAAAAGUGAUGACCGAUACGACACCAGG